GAAAGAGGGAUCGAGAGAAAAGAGAGACAGAGAAAUAGAGAGGCAGAGAUAGAGAGACAUCACCGUAAGGGCGCCUUCCGUUUCUCAUAUUCUGAUACUUUCUUUUCGCUUCCUUUUCAAUUUUCUUAACACCGAUGCUUGCGAUCCAGAGAUAGAGAAGGAGGAAAAAAUAAACCUUGCGAUAUAGAGAUGAGAAGGAGACAGACAUUGAGAGAACUACCACCGGUUUGGAGAGGGCAAAAACAGAGAAAUAAGAGAGAAGGAGAGAGUUCUCCGUUCCCUCUUCAGACUUAAAGCAUCGCUGCAAGCACAUAGGGAAAGAAAAAUCUAUGGGCUACAUAUCUGUCACCAUCAGAUCGUAGGAACCGGCUCCGGUGAGUGGAAGAAAAGGCAAGCAGAUGUAGAAGCUGUCCAGGAAGCUAGACGUAAGAUAAAGCUUAAGAGAUAAAGCAGCAUGACAAGCAUUAGGCCAUUGUGACUGAACAUAUAUAAGGU